rnacentral:lncRNA from 1 species
AUGUGCCUUUUACCACUGCUAUACAGAGAACAAACGCGAUGUCAGACACCUGAAUCCAACGUGCAAAUUUCAAAACUGGAGAAGGAUUUACUGGUAGGGUACAAGAAAGAGCCGGAAGAAAAUUACGCAUUGGUUGAGCUCAGAAUGAAGGACCUGGAGACCGGCAAUCUGAACCUGGAAGCUCAAUUGCAAGAAAAAUCUCAAGUUAUACUGGCCUUGGAGAAGGAGCUGGAAAACGAGAAACUAAAAUGCGGCGCUAGACUCAAUGAAGUUCAAGCUGAGUUGGCUGAGUGUUUGUCCGAAAAAGAUUUUUUACUGUCCGAGAAAGAGGUCGUAGCGGAGGCGCAUGAAGACACCAUCAAGUCCCUGACAUGCAGGCUAAAGCAACACAAAUGUGUGUGUAUUGAAAAAACUGGCGGUGUGCAACAAGAGCAGCUGAAAGACAUUGAUGAGCUCCUGGAUACAAAAUGCGCUAAAUCGCCACAUGCGAAACAAAAGAGGAAUAGUCAUUUUGAUGUACCCGGAACGUCGGUUCACCAGAUCGGGAUCCAGAUUCAGCCCUCCUCUUCAGCGUUCCAGGAGACCAUCGAUGUAGGCUGGGUGAUUAUGUUGUAUGGGAAUCCUACCCAUGUUGUUCAAUAA